rnacentral:lncRNA from 1 species
UCUCUAGGCUACAUGUAUUUUCAACUCUCCAAAAUACUUUCUGGAGAAUUUCAGUAAAAAGAGAAACAAAGAAACAUGUUAACAUGAUCAUGCCAUUACUGACAAAAGGUCUACAAUGAAAGGGAAUAAUCACUUGUAAAAUACUAUUAAACCCAGAUUUUCCAGUAAAAAGUAAGAGAUGUCUAUACUAUCACACGAGGUAAGACAAGCAAGGAGUUGCUGCAUGGCUGCUACAUUCAACAAGCCUUUGGCAUUCCAAAUUCUAGAACUCUCCAUCUCCUACUCACCUCUACGUGUUUCCACACUGCGGGAAAAUCCUUGGGCUGGUUGAUGGUGAUGAAAGUUCAAUCUACAGCUGGAGUGGGAGACAGAGGGAUCCAGACUGACCAAACCAUCAUCUUCAACACGUGGCUCUGGGGGUUAUCCUGGGAUCCUGGGAGACAACAUCCAGCUGACACUAAAAUUUAGUCAUGAGGCCUUAC